rnacentral:lncRNA from 1 species
ACUCCCCAAGUAAGCAGGCAGAGACAGAGACCUGAGUCCUACUGCUGAGUCAUUUAAAUCUGCUUUAGAUCGGGUUUUCCCAGGGCAUGGAAAGGACAGGGCUCCCAGUGGAGAUAUCAUGUAGCUAUAGGGCCUAGAAGUAUUUUUUCAGUAGAUGAAAUUUAGAAAUAAUUUGAAUAUUUUAUGCUGGGGAGGUAGCUUGUGGAGUGAAAUGGUCGGGUAAAGGAAACACUGAGUUCAAGUGCUUCUUUAUAAAGGACACUUAACUGAUCUAAAUAUUUGUCAAGCUGAAUCGCUACAUCCACUCUCACCUGCCUGAAAUCAAUAUGCUCAAGUCAAACGCAUUUGCCUGCAUCUGAAUGUGGAGAAUGAACUUCUUAAAGCUGAACUGGCAGCUGGAAGGGGAGAGAGAAGAGCUGGACAGGGAGCCAGGACACCGGAGUUCUUUUCCACUGUGGUGGGAUCUGGAAGAAGCUGUUGAAUCUCUGUAGAGUUAGCUUUUAAAUGCUGUGAGUCUUUGGAAAGCUGUGCGAAUAACUGCUAAACACCCAGGACAGCUUAUGCAUUUUUUGAAAAAGGUUCCUGGUGCUGGUUCCAGCAGAAUAGACACAGAGAUGCAUGGCCUAACUCCCACUCCCUCUUCAGGACUGAGCCACGCAGCCCCCCAUCUGCCAGAAGUGUUAGCUGUUGACGGCUCACAGCUGAGUCCCUCUCCAGGCAUUGCUGAAAAGAGCCACCUUGCUCUAGGAUGUGCCCCCACCCUGGGGGCAGCAUACAUUCCAAGUGAUUAGUCCAUAGUGUGGUACAAAGGUUGUACCCAUCUUGCCUGAAUUCAGGAUCUCUUGGAAAACCACCCCAGCUCUGCAGCUCCUGGUGGGGUGCUGAGGCCUCUGCUGCAGCUGCAUCGCAGUUUACUUUCCCCUCUGCCUAGUCCUGCUGCCUUCACUCCCCAACAGGUAUUGUUCCCCAGAGAACUCCCUGCCCCCAGUCACCUGUAAGCAAAUCUCCACUGCAGUCUGUGGCCUGGGAAACCUGCUCUAGGAUCCCAAAGUGAACACAGCUUCCCAUUGAAAUGUGUCUUUGGGUGUUAAUCUGUCCUGCCAUCUUUACAUCUAAUCAAGAGGUAGAGCUUCCCCUGGUGUUCCUGCUGGGUACAUAAAGGAUCUUUUCCAUUGUCUUUUA